rnacentral:rRNA from 1 species
UACGUAGGGUGCAAGCGUUAAUCGGAAUUACUGGGCGUAAAGCGUGCGCAGGCGGCUUUGCAAGACAGAUGUGAAAUCCCCGGGCUCAACCUGGGAACUGCAUUUUGUGACUGCAAGGCUAGAGUACGGUAGAGGGGAUGGAAUUCCGCGUGUAGCAGUGAAAAUGCGUAGAGAUGUGGAGGAACACCGAUGGCGAAGGCAGCCCUGGGCUAACACUGACGCUCAGGCACGAAAGCGUGGGAGCAAACAGG